GUCUAUAGCCACACCACCCUGAACGUGUCUGAUCUUAGAAGCUAAGCAGGGUUGGUCCUGGUUUGUACUUGGAUGGGAUUCCACCUGGGAAUACUGUGUGCUAAAGGCU
rnacentral:rRNA from 1 species